rnacentral:tRNA from 1 species
GUGAGUGUAGCUCAGUUGGUUAGAGCAUUAGGUUGUGGUCCUAAGGGUCGCGGGUUCGAAUCCCGUCACUCACC